rnacentral:rRNA from 1 species
UACGUAGGGCGCAAGCGUUGUCCGGAAUCAUUGGGCGUAAAGAGCUCGUAGGCGGUUUGUCGCGUCUGCCGUGAAAGUCCGGGGCUCAACUCCGGAUCUGCGGUGGGUACGGGGCAGACUAGAGUGAUGUAGGGGAGACUGGAAUUCCUGGUGUAGCGGUGAAAUGCGCAGAUAUCAGGAGGAACACCGAUGGCGAAGGCAGGUCUCUGGGCAUUAACUGACGCUGAGGAGCGAAAGCAUGGGGAGCGAACAGG